GCCGACGUAGCACAGUUGGUAGUGCAACGCACUCGUAACGCGUAGGUCGUAGGUUCAAGUCCUAUCGUCGGCACCA
rnacentral:tRNA from 10 species